rnacentral:lncRNA from 1 species
GUUGCUAUUAGACAUGGUGUUUGUAAUUUGGAGGUUUUUUCUUUUUUCAAUUUCAACAAUAUUCUCUACAGCAUUUUAAAAUAGCACUAAUGUGGAAAACAACCCAUUUAUCUUAAAUAAUUCAUUUAUAAUGAAUUCAGUUAUAAGACUACAUGUAUAGGGAAGGGUUGGGAUUUCCCAAAAUAUGUUUAACCAUGCCACAUUUUUUAACCUGUCCCAGGCCAAGAAGCUCUUGCUAUGCUAGUCUUGUGUGCUUAUACAAUUGUUAGUUCAUUUGUAUCUUCAGGAGUUUAAUGUGUUGUCUUUUUCACUGAACUAAGAUACAUUAUUGUAAUGGGGCUAGUUGAUGCCUGCCUCUGGUUUAGGGAUUUUAUCAUAAGAAAAGACCCAUUGGUGGCCUUGGGUUGUUUUCUGUUCUCUUUGAGGCAUUCACCAUUCCAUGUUAUAAGAACUAUUUAGACAGCAACAUGAUAUAACAAAUAUAGCACCAUGGUAUCAUGGUGUUAUAAGCAUGAUCAGGUCCUGGAGGAAAACACUAUAUUCAUAUGAAAAAUGAAGAAAAUAAAUGGGGAAUGAGUCCAUGUGACUCAGAUGAUGCCCUCGCUUCCAUACAACAUGAUAAAGGGACAUAACUGAAAAACAGUAAAAUUGAUACUUCCUUGAUUCAACCUUAAUUUCUGUGUCAUUUGGUCGCAUGUGGAGAGUUGUCUCAUUGGCAAUCAUACCAC